AGCGGCAGACGGGUGAGUAACGCGUGGGAACGUACCUUUUGGUUCGGAAUAACCCCGGGAAACUGGGGCUAAUACCGAAUGGUUCCUUCGGGAUAAAGAUUUAUCGCCAAAAGAUGAGUCCGCGUACGAUUAGCUAGUUGGUGAGGUAAUGGCUCACCAAGGCGACGAUCGUUAGCUGGUCUGAGAGGACGAUCAGCCACACUGGGACUGAGACACGGCCCAGACUCC
rnacentral:rRNA from 1 species